rnacentral:rRNA from 1 species
CCUACGGGAGGCAGCAGUGGGGAAUAUUGGACAAUGGGCGCAAGCCUGAUCCAGCAAUGCCGCGUGAGUGAUGAAGGCCCUCGGGUCGUAAAGCUCUUUUACCAGGGAUGAUAAUGACAGUACCUGGAGAAUAAGCUCCGGCUAACUCCGGGCCAGCAGC